AUGCUCUCUUCAGUGGCACAUGUACUAAAAUGGAAACAAUACAGGAAAGAUCAGCAUGACCCCUACACGAGGGUAACAUGGAAUCUACAAAGUAUUCCAUAAUUUAA